rnacentral:rRNA from 1 species
GAUGAACGCUGGCGGCGUGCCUAAUACAUGCAAGUCGAGCGAACAGACGAGGAGCUUGCUCCUCUGACGUUAGCGGCGGACGGGUGAGUAACACGUGGAUAACCUACCUAUAAGACUGGGAUAACUUCGGGAAACCGGAGCUAAUACCGGAUAAUAUAUUGAACCGCAUGGUUCAUUAGUGAAAGACGGUUUUGCUGUCACUUAUAGAUGGAUCCGCGCCGCAUUAGCUAGUUGGUAAGGUAACGGCUUACCAAGGCAACGAUGCGUAGCCGACCUGAGAGGGUGAUCGGCCACACUGGGACUGAGACACGGUCCAGACUCCGACGGGAGGCAGCAGUAGGGAAUCUUCCACAAUGGGCGAAAGCCUGACGGAGCAAUGCCGCGUGAGUGAUGAAGGUCUUCGGAUCGUAAAACUCUGUUAGUAGGAAAGAAAAAAUGUGUAACUAACUAUGCACGUCUUGACGGUACCCAAACAGAAAGCCACGGCUAACUACGUG